rnacentral:tRNA from 1 species
GUCUCAGUAGCUCAGCUGGAUAGAGCGACAGCCUCCUAAGCUGUAGGUCGUGAGUUCGAAUCUCGCCUGGGACGC